GCUCUUGGAAGCUGCCUUUGGUAGGAGCGCUGCUUACCGUCUCAUCCCUAACUUUUCACUUAUUCAGCAAAUAUUUGUUGAGUUCUUAUUUUCUGGAAAAGAUUGGGUUAGACACUGGAACUAGUACAAACAAAGAACUGGCUCAUGUGAAAAUGGGAGCUGAGUCCCAGGACAUGCCGUCAGCAAGCUGGAGACCCAGGAGAGCUGGUGGUAUGAAUUCUAGUCCAAAAGCUGGCAGACUCAAGACUCAAGAAGAGCUGAUAUUUCUGGCUGAGUCUGAAGGUUGGAAAAAAAGCAACAUUCCAGUUUAAGCAGUCAGGAGCUGGCCAGUGGGAUCCAUUCUAGCUGGUGCUGUGUUUGACAAGUUCCUGUUUUUCAUAAAUGUGUCCUGGGUUCUGGCCCAAGACGUCCCAGACUCACCUUGUGUCUAUUCUUCUCAAGACUUGGAAUCAGCCAAUUCUGCAAGGAACAGCUAGACGUCACUUUAAACUGAAAACUCUGAAUUCCUUAUUAAAGCAUUUUCUUGAGAGAGUUUUGGGAAUAGCAAGCCUGCUGAGUAAAGAGUUGAAAGCAUCUAUUUUGACUGUUAGCUGUAAUGGUCACUGAAAACAAUAUGUUUAUCUUUUUAACAAAGACUAUCACAGUCAAAAUCUGCGUUAAAUCAUAGCUUGUUGUGCUCCUAUUCUUUCAACCUAAAUAAACAAAAAUUUAAAAUAGUGUGAUUGAGAUUGUACUUGUAUUAGAGACAGUUUUAUGCAGUUUAACAUACUCAUAGGCUUAGCCUACUGGGAAGAAAGAGUAAUGUUUCUUCAGAUCACCAGUUUUUGGAAAUACUUCUCAUUUUGAUAGCAGAAUCUAGUAAA